AGUCGGACGGCAGCAUAGAAGAGCUUGCUCUUUUGAUGGCGAGUGGCGAACGGGUGAGUAAUGCAUCGGAACGUACCGAGUAGUGGGGGAUAACUGUCCGAAAGGAUGGCUAAUACCGCAUAUUCUCUGAGGAGGAAAGCAGGGGACCUUAGGGCCUUGCGCUAUUUGAGCGGCCGAUGUCUGAUUAGCUAGUUGGUGGGGUAAGAGCCCACCAAGGCGACGAUCAGUAGCGGGUCUGAGAGGAUGAUCCGCCACACUGGGACUGAGACACGGCCCAGACUCCUACGGGAGGCAGCAGUGGGGAAUUUUGGACAAUGGGCGCAAGCCUGAUCCAGCCAUGCCGCGUGUAUGAAGAAGGCCUUCGGGUUGUAAAGUACUUUUGUCAGGGAAGAAAAGCCUGGGGAUAACACCCUCAGGUCAUGACGGUACCUGAAGAAUAAGCACCGGCUAACUACGUGCCAGCAGCCGCGGUAAUACGUAGGGUGCGAGCGUUAAUCGGAAUUACUGGGCGUAAAGCGAGCGCAGACGGUUAUUUAAGCAAGAUGUGAAAGCCCCGGGCUCAACCUGGGAACUGCGUUUUGAACUGGGUAACUAGAGUGUGUCAGAGGGGGGUAGAAUUCCACGUGUAGCAAUGAAAUGCGUAGAGAUGUGGAGGAAUACCGAUGGCGAAAGCCGCCCCCUGGGAUAACACUGACGUUCAUGCUCGAAAGCGUGGGUAGCAAACAGGAUUAGAUACCCUGGUAGUCCACGCCCUAAACGAUGUCAAUUAGCUGUUGGGGUACAUGAUGCCUUAGUAGCGUAGCUUACGCGUGAAAUUGACCGCCUGGGGAGUACGGUCGCAAGAUUAAAACUCAAAGGAAUUGACGGGGACCCGCACAAGCGGUGGAUGAUGUGGAUUAAUUCGAUGCAACGC
rnacentral:rRNA from 1 species